rnacentral:rRNA from 1 species
AUUGAACGCUGGCGGCAUGCUUUAUACAUGCAAGUCGUGCGGCAGCGCGGGGGCAACUCUGGCGGCGAGCGGCGAACGGGUGAGUAAUACAUAGGAACGUAUCCUGAAAUGGGGGAUAGCUCGGCGAAAGCCGGAUUAAUACCGCAUACGCUCCACGGAGGAAAGCAGGGGAUCGCAAGACCUUGCGUUUCUGGAGCGGCCUAUGUCUGAUUAGCUAGNGGGUCGGGGUAAUAGCCCACCAAGGCGACGAUCAGUAGCUGGUCUGAGAGGAUGAUCAGCCACACUGGGACUGAGACACGGCCCAGACUCCUACGGGAGGCAGCAGUAGGGAAUUUU